GGCGGCAGGCCUAACACAUGCAAGUCGAGCGGUAGAGAGAAGCUUGCUUCUCUUGAGAGCGGCGGACGGGUGAGUAAUGCCUAGGAAUCUGCCUGGUAGUGGGGGAUAACGUUCGGAAACGGACGCUAAUACCGCAUACGUCCUACGGGAGAAAGCAGGGGACCUUCGGGCCUUGCGCUAUCAGAUGAGCCUAGGUCGGGUUAGCUAGUUGGUGAGGUAAUGGCUCACCAAGGCGACGAUCCGUAACUGGUCUGAGAGGAUGAUCAGUCACACUGGAACUGAGACACGGUCCAGACUCCUACGGGAGGCAGCAGUGGGGAAUAUUGGACAAUGGGCGAAAGCCUGAUCCAGCCAUGCCGCGUGUGUGAAGAAGGUCUUCGGAUUGUAAAGCACUUUAAGUUGGGAGGAAGGGUUGUAGAUUAAUACUCUGCAAUUUUGACGUUACCGACAGAAUAAGCACCGGCUAACUCUGUGCCAGCAGCCGCGGUAAUACAGAGGGUGCAAGCGUUAAUCGGAAUUACUGGGCGUAAAGCGCGCGUAGGUGGUUUGUUAAGUUGGAUGUGAAAUCCCCGGGCUCAACCUGGGAACUGCAUUCAAAACUGACUGACUAGAGUAUGGUAGAGGGUGGUGGAAUUUCCUGUGUAGCGGUGAAAUGCGUAGAUAUAGGAAGGAACACCAGUGGCGAAGGCGACCACCUGGACUAAUACUGACACUGAGGUGCGAAAGCGUGGGGAGCAAA
rnacentral:rRNA from 1 species